UACGUAGGGCGCAAGCGUUAUCCGGAAUUAUUGGGCGUAAAGAGCUCGUAGGCGGUUUGUCGCGUCUGCCGUGAAAUCCGGGCUCAACCCCGGACUUGCAGUGGUACGGCAGACUAGAGUGUGGUAGGGGAGACUGGAAUUCCGGGUGUAGCGGUGGAAUGCGUAGAGAUCCGGAAGAACACCGGUGGCGAAGGCGGCCCGA
rnacentral:rRNA from 1 species